rnacentral:rRNA from 1 species
UACAGAGGGUGCAAGCGUUGUUCGGAAUUAUUGGGCGUAAAGGGCGCGUAGGCGGUGCGGUAAGUCUGUAGUGAAAUCUCUGGGCUCAACUCAGAGUCUGCUAUAGAAACUGCCGUGCUUGAGUGUGGGAGAGGUGAGUGGAAUUCCCAGUGUAGAGGUGAAAUUCGUAGAUAUUGGGAAGAACACCGGUGGCGAAGGCGGCGCUCUGGACCGAGACUGACGCUGAGGCGCGAAAGCGUGGGGAGCAAACAGG